GUGGGGAAUAUUGCACAAUGGGGGGAACCCUGAUGCAGCGACGCCGCGUGAGUGAAGAAGUAUUUCGGUACGUAAAGCUCUAUCAGCAAGGAAGAAAAUGAAGGUACUUGACUAAGAAGCCCCGGCUAACUACGUGCCAGCAGCCGCGGUAAUAAGUAGGGGGCAAGCGUUAUCCGGAUUUACUGGGUGUAAAGGGAGCGUAGACGGUAUGGUAAGUCAGAUGUGAAAGCCCGGGGCUCAAACCCGGGACUGCAUUUGAAACUAUCAGACUAGAGUGCAGGAGAGGUAAGUGGAAUUCCUAGUGUAGCGGUGAAAUGCGUAGAUAUUAGGAGGAACACCAGUGGCGAAGGCGGCUUACUGGACUGUAACUGACGUUGAGGCUCGAAAGCGUGGGGAGCAAACAGGAUUAGAUACCCCUGUAGUCC
rnacentral:rRNA from 1 species